AAACCAACAGGGAUUGCCUUAGUAACGGCGAGUGAAGCGGCAAAAGCUCAAAUUUGAAAUCUGACACUUUCAGUGUCCGAGUUGUAAUUUGAAGAAAGUUUCUCUGAGUAGUCCUUUAUCUAUGUUCCUUGGAACAGGACGUCAUAGAGGGUGAGAACCCCGUAUGAUUUUGGAUACUAUUCUUUGUGAGAUUCUUUCGAAGAGUCGAGUUGUUUGGGAAUGCAGCUCUAAGUGGGUGGUAAAUUCCAUCUAAAGCUAAAUAUUGGCGAGAGACCGAUAGCGAACAAGUACAGUGAUGGAAAGAUGAAAAGAACUCUGAAGAGAGAGUGAAAAAGUACGUGAAAUUGCUGAAAGGGAAGGGCUUUAGGUUAGACUUGGUGUUUAGUGAUUAUCUUCCCUUCUGGGUUGUGCACUCGCUUUUCACUGGGCCAAUAUCAGUUUUGGAGGCAGAGCACCCUUUGGAAUGUAGCUUCUCUCGAGAAGUGUUAUAGCCUUGGGACGAUCUGCCGCUGGGACUGAGGACUGCGCAUUUUAUGCUAGGAUAUUGGCGUAAUAACCCUAAGCCGC
rnacentral:rRNA from 3 species